AAUAUUUCCAUGUGUUUUUUUAUUCAAAUACAAAUGAACUUGUAAACAAACACCCACUGUAUUAUUACAGUAAUUUUCAAUCUAAACUGAUUUCUACUAGUGAAAAGUGCUAGACAAGAACUGGCUCUUAUGAGUACCUGAAGUAUAGCUUGGGUAAUACACAGUUGAGACAAAUGUCAAACAGUAUACAUAGUUAAGAGUAAAUUAUAGUUCAAGAUUUUUAAUUACCUGUUUUUGUAAUCCCAAAAAAAUAGUAACAAGUCUUUUACAUUUAUUAUCUUUAACUUGACAAUAUCCCUUCCAACAAUUUUGGGGGCCUGAAGUUAGCCAUUUUAUUCAAACUGAUAUAAGGAAACAGAGUUUGGCUUCUCAAGCUCCCUAAUCAUACAU